rnacentral:rRNA from 1 species
CCUACGGGAUGCAGCAGUGGGGGAUAUUGGACAAUGGGGGGAACCCUGAUCCAGCGACGCCGCGUGAGUGAAGAAGUAUUUCGGUAUGUAAAGCUCUGUCAGCAGGGAAGAAAGAAAUGACGGUACCUGACCAAGAAGCCCCGGCUAACUACGUGCGAGCAGCCGCGGUACUACGGAGGGGGCAGGCGUUAUCCGGAAUUACUGGGUGUAAAGGGAGCGUAGACGGUGAAGUAAGUCGGGGGUGAAAGGCCGGGGCCCAACCCCGGGAUUGCACUGGAAACUAGUGGACGUGAGUGCAUGAGAGGUAAGCGGAAUUCCUAGUGUAGCGGUGAAAUGCGUAGAGAUGAGGAGGAAUACCAGGGGCGAAGGCGGCUUAUUGGACUGUAACUGACGUUGAGGCUCGAAAGCGUGGGGAGCAAACAGGAUUAGAUACCCUUGUAGUC